CACGGUUAUACUGAGCAUUUCAUAUGCAGCAGCUGUGAAAGAGGUUGAGGGGUUGAAUGGUGCAUCAGAAGAGUCCAUGGUGGUGGAUUGGCCUACACUGCAGGAUGCAGGGGUUUCCUUUCACCAGCAGGAUCCUGACAUUUUAAAGAUUUAAGAAGGUGGACGUUGUGGCUUUUAUAGCUGUGGUAAUUAAUGGCACUGCCAAGGCAGAGCAGUUCCUGGAGCUGAAAGAUUUUCAGCAAAGGAGUUAAAUGGAAUAUUGGCACAAGCUGUACCACCCUCUCAGGUCCUAGUGCUUGAAAAGGGAGAUAGGGGAACUACAAGAAGGAAGAAGUGUACUAUUUUUAAUUAGGGUGGAUUUAGUUUUACUGUUAUGUAUGUUUUUUUUUGGGUUACACCUUUUGGGGUGUAGUCCGCCAUAAAACCCACAGAGGAAGAAAGAACCACUACAAGGUCCCGGAUAGCACGUAUCUUUUAAAACAAUCAAUCGUUUUCUAUAAUCUGUCAUUUGUUGUACCCCCUAUCAUAUCAUAUGUUAUCAUUGUCUAUUUGUAUAGUUCUUGUAUGUAUACAGAUUAUUCUACAUUGUAAAAACUAGCACGUAUCUCUAGUUCUGAGCCUUCAGUAUCCCAUACUGCAUAGCGAGUGUGUUUGCAUUUUACAUUCAUCGGCGCUACUGUUUUUGUUGGCAGGGCAUUUUCUUUUAGGAAUUAUCAGUUUAUUUUUUAAAUAACGAAUCUUAGUUUUAAGUACAUCACACGCAAACAUGGAGAUCGGCACAGAAAUAAGCAAGAAAAUACGGGCUGCUUCAAGGGGAAACUUCAAGAACUCGGUGCCUAUGUUGAUGAAGAGUUACCAGACUAUAUCGUGGUGAUGGUGGCCGAAAACAAGAAGACUUCACAGCAGAUGUCUGACGACCUGGCCCUCUUCCUUGGAAACAAUACCAUCAAGUUUACAGUCUGGUAUAUAUAGCUAACCAGCUAGGCCUGGUCCUAGUUCUGUUUGUACUAUCUUGUCAAAUUCUAAGGUCAUUUAAUUUAUGUUUGGCAAGACAGCAUAAACAGAUCUGGGAACAGGUUAUAGCUAGUUAGGUGUCUUGAGUUGAGAGGAUGGGGGUGUAACUUUGUCUGGUCUAUUUCCAUGGGUGUAAAUGAUUAUCCUAACCCUGGUGUCAUUAACAGGUUACACAGAGUCCCUGAGAAGCUGAGCUCUGUGGCAGUAGGUAGGUUCAGGUUAACACGGAGUCCCUGAGAAGCUGAGCUCUGUGGCAGUAGGUAUGUUCAGGUUAACACGGAGUCCUGGAGAAGCUGAGCUCUGUGGCAGUAGGUAUGUUCAGGUUACACGGAGUCCCUGAGAAGCUGAGCUCUGUGGCAGUAGGUAUGUUCAGGUUACACGGAGUCCCUGAGAAGCUGAGCUCUGUGGCAGUAGGUAAGUUCAGGUUACACCAAAGGAGUCUGUGCUUUCACUGAAAGUAACACUGUAGCGACUGGUGAGAGAGGGUAUCGCCUUAUCAGAGAUCAAAAGAACCCGAGAUGGAUAUGUAACAGACUUCAAGGCCAGGGUUGUUAUAAUACUGGACUAUAAAGGCAUCUUGUGUGUUGAGCGUUUACUCUUUUCUGUUCUUGAAUAGAGACCAUGCAUUUUUUAAACAAAUGCUUUAUCUGUUGAAAGGUGUUAUCUGUCCAUGUGUAACUAAAUUGACAAUCUCUCUCUCUCUCUCUCUGUCUCUGUCUCUGUCUCUGUCUCUGUCUCUGUCUCUCUCUGUCUCUGUGUGUGUGUAUCUAGAACCAGAGGAAGAGUGAGGGGUCGAAGGGGCUUAUGGUGUCCAGUUCUCGCUCUCUGAUAGGACAGAGGCCCGCGUGUCCAUCUCUGCCCAUGAGCACAGACCCUCCUUGCCAAACAAGCCAACAAGAACCUGAUGAUGAGGGCUAUUUCUGAGGCCCAGGUCUCCAUUAACAAGACUACAGCCUUCCCAGCUGGCAAGUCAGUUCAGAACAAAUUCUUAUUUUCAAUGACGGCCUAGGAACAAUGGGUUAACUGCCUGUUCAGGGGCAGAACAACAGAUUUGUACCUUGUCAGCUCGGGGAUUCGAACUUGCAACCUUUCGGUUACUCGUCCAACUCUCUAACCACUAGGCUACCCUCCCGCCCCAUGGAGUACCUGUUGCAAAGAUGCCUUCGCUGUCUCACUGUCAAUCUGCCUGAAUUAAUCUUACCUAUUGGACAUGGGUUGUCCUGUUUAUUAUCAUGACACCUGGGUCGUAUUCAUUAGGCACCAAAUGGAUCAAAACGGACUGAAAUGUACCACAGAGACAAACAGUUCCCAUGGCUCCCAGGACCCGUUCAGCCAGCGAUGAGAUGAAAGCAGCCAUCGAGCUGGUUCAGGAGCACCUCUGCGGGCCCCCAGGGGACAGAUUUAUCCCCCCCCCCCUCAGUCUCAGGCCCCCAGGCAGCUAGGUACAGUGCAUUCAGAAAGUAUUCAGACCCCUUGACUUCUUCUACAUUUUGUUACGUUACAGCUUUAUUCUAAAAUUGAUUAAAUUUUCCCCCCCCCCCUUCAAUCUACACACAAUACCUCAAAGAUUUCUGCCAUGGCACAACCCAAGGGGGGGCGCCAACCCAGACAGGAUGACCACAUCAGUGACUCAACCCACUCAGGUGACGCACCCCUCCUAGGGACGGCAUGGAAGACCACCAGUAAGCCAGUGGCUCAGCCCCUGUAAUAGGGUUAGAGGCAGAGCAUCCCGGUGGAAAGAGGGGAACAGGCCAGGCAGAGACAGCAAGGGCGGUUCAUUGCUCCAGAGCCUUUCCGUUCACCUUCACACUCCUGGGCCAGACUACACUCAAUCAUAUGACCCACUGAAGAGAUGAGUCUUCAAUAAAGACUUAAAGGUUGAGACCGAGUCUGCAUCUCUCACAUGGAACAAAGAUGGAGGCAAGGUGGCUUCAACACAAUGGUGAGGGAGAGCCAAGAUGGAGGCAAGGUGGCUUCAACACAAUGGUGAGGGAGAGCCAAGAUGGAGGCAAGGUGGCUUCAACACAAUGGUGAGGGAGAGCCAAGAUGGAGGCAAGGUGGCUUCAACACAAUGGUGAGGGAGAGCCAAGAUGGAGGCAAGGUGGCUUCAACACAAUGGUGAGGGAGAGCCAAGAUGGAGGCACAGUGGCUUCAACACAAUGGUGAGGGAGAACCAAGAUGGAGGCACAGUGGCUUCAACACAAUGGUGAGGGAGAGCCAAGAUGGAGGCAGGGUGGCUCCAACACAAUGGUGAGGGAGAGCCAAGAUGGAGGCAGGGUGGCUCCAACACAAUGGUGAGGGAGAGCCAAGAUGGAGGCAGGGUGGCUCCAACACAUCAAGUGUAUUUAUAAAUCAUAUAUAAAGCAAAGCAUACUUACCUGGAUUACACUCUGAUAAUAAAAUGGUGCAUCUGGAGCAAAUAUGGCUCUGGGCCAAUGGAGGCUCGUCAGAGGAGGAAGGGGAGGACCAUCUUCCUCGGUGAAUUUCAUAAAAAUAAAAUAGUGAAACAUUCAAAACUGUUUUCCUUUUUUAGAUAAAACAUUUUUUUGUAAUGAAGGUCUAGAGUCACCUCAACAGCACUCUCUUGGGUAGCAAAUCAAAUUUGAUUGGUCAUAUACACAUAUUUAGCAGAUGUUAUUGGUCAUAUACACAUAUUUAGCAGAUGUUAUUGGUCA